rnacentral:rRNA from 1 species
CAGUAGCCACGGUAAAACGUAGGGUGCAAGCGUUAAUCGGAAUUACUGGGCGUAAAGCGUGCGCAGGCGGUUAUAUAAGACAGAUGUGAAAUCCCCGGGCUCAACCUGGGAACUGCAUUUGUGACUGUAUAGCUAGAGUACGGCAGAGGGGGAUGGAAUUCCGCGUGUAGCAGUGAAAUGCGUAGAUAUGCGGAGGAACACCGAUGGCGAAGGCAAUCCCCUGGGCCUGUACUGACGCUCAUGCACGAAAGCGUGGGGAGCAAACAGGAUUAGAUACCCGCGUAGUCCCUGUCUUUAUACA